GCGCAUGUGGCGGAAUUGGCAGACGCACCAGACUUAGGAUCUGGCGCCUUUGGCGUGGGGGUUCAAGUCCCUCCAUGCGCACCA
rnacentral:tRNA from 1 species